CUAAUGCAACAAAAGGGAGCAGCCACAGUGAGCUUUUAGACGAAGAGCUACAGGCUGCACACCU